AGGAUUAGAAAGCGUGUUUUGAACCAUUUAAAAUCAAUUAAAUGUGUAAGUUGGUAGUAUAUCUGCCAACUAUAUAUAUUCCGAGGUAUCAGAGAUUUACAGAAAAUGAGGUGAAUGCGACAGAUUGUCAAGCGACAACGUAAAAUCUCGUUCCCUUUAUUCGUUGGUGACAAGUGAACGCACGCAAUUUGGCGCUGUCAGCUGGAAACGCGGGAUUUUCAAAUUUUAAUCGAAUCCGUCUCGCCCGCGCGUUUUCCGUCGAUUAAACGCUUUACAAGCAUGGACGGCCACGUUCUCGAGCGAGAGAAAUAUUUCAUUGGCUGCGAUGCUACAUAAAAUAGGGUGAGAAAACGAAUUACUCUUGCAAACCGACUAAACUGCACACGAUACAUGAAUUAUAAUACGUUAAUAUGGACGCCAGCAACUGGGCAACAUCAUGGUAGACGAAAAUGUGGUUCCGGUCAACGACACGUUUCUAAGAAUGAUAUUGAUCCACUAUCGGUUUCCUGAAUUCGUAUGUGUAUUAGGAAAAAAACGAACGAUGGUUAGAUUUCGCAAGUAAAAAUAUAACAGUCGUCACGUGACAUACAUUCAUCGACUAGAACGCCAGUCGUAGGUCUUGUGCGCACAAUGUCCAUUUUCAUUCUGUUGGAACAAUAUCCGCGGCAUAAUAAUGAGAGCCUUGCUUCGUUUCCUAUGCAAAGGACCAACGCGCACUUUUAAACGUGCCGUAAUAAUACCUUACUAGAAGCAAUUAAGUGCAAAUACAACCGAUUGGGAUGAACGUGCACACUGGCGGAUGCAUUCAGGGGGUUAGGACGUUGAUAUAGAAUGGACGCGGAGGAAGUGGCUCAGGGGAUAGAAGUGGAGGGAGUGUAAAGAGGAAGGGACAGAGAGGAUAGAGCGAGGAAGGCGGAUCGGAAAUUGCUUCGAGCAUGCUCGCUCGCAAUAAUACCACGCCUGCCUAUGUAUGCAUGUGUACUAAGGCCCGAUCCUCUGUAUCCCUACAUGUAUACAGUCCAUGUGGCAGUACACGUGUAUAUGUAUACGAACACACUAAUACCAAAGAACGGUAAGAACAAAGCCGACGGCAAAUGACAGCAGUAAUUUUCGCAAACUGUUGUGGGAUGCGCGCUGAGGCAUUCAAGGUACCAUGCCGUCGUGCCGUUCUUCGAAAUGGUUUUCUUUUUGCCGUGUGGUUUUAUACUUUUUGAUAUGGUAGAUAAAUGGCGGAAUCUUGAAAAGUUAAGAAGAAUUUUUCGACAUUUUAACGAGCAGUUGAGUAAUAGUAUUUGAUAAUGUCGAAGAUAAGUCGAGAAACUUGGAAAACUUCACCACUCUGUUUCAAGGAGACCAGUUAGGCAAAAGUGCAACAACUUUGAUAGGGGCA